UCCUGGCUCAGGAUGAACGCUAGCGACAGGCCUAACACAUGCAAGUCGAGGGGCAGCACAAGGAGCAAUCUGAGGUGGCGACCGGCGCACGGGUGAGUAACACGUAUGCAACCUGCCUGUAAGCGGGGAAUAACCCGUUGAAAGACGGACUAAUACCGCAUAAUACUAAAUUACUGCAUGGUAAUUUAUUUAAACAUUUAUGGCUUACAGAUGGGCAUGCGCAUGAUUAGCUAGUUGGAGAGGUAACGGCUCCCCAAGGCAACGAUCAUUAGGGGUUCUGAGAGGAAGGUCCCCCACACUGGUACUGAGACACGGACCAGACUCCUACGGGAGGCAGCAGUGAGGAAUAUUGGUCAAUGGACGAGAGUCUGAACCAGCCAAGUCGCGUGCAGGAAAAGAAUGUCCUAUGGAUUGUAAACUGCUUUUGCAGGGGAAUAAAGUGCAGGACGUGUCCUGUUUUGUAUGUACCCUGAGAAUAAGGAUCGGCUAACUCCGUGCCAGCCGCCGC
rnacentral:rRNA from 1 species